rnacentral:rRNA from 1 species
AGAGUUUGAUCAUGGCUCAGGAUGAACGCUAGCUACAGGCUUAACACAUGCAAGUCGAGGGGCAGCAUAAUCGAAGCUUGCUUUGAUUGAUGGCGACCGGCGCACGGGUGAGUAACGCGUAUCCAACCUUCCCCUUAGUAGGGCAUAGCCCGGCGAAAGUCGGAUUAAUACCCUAUGUUUUCCAAUGAGGACAUCUGAGCUGGAACAAAGAUUUAUCGCUAAGGGAUGGGGAUGCGUCUGAUUAGCUUGUUGGCGGGGUAACGGCCCACCAAGGCAACGAUCAGUAGGGGUUCUGAGAGGAAGGUCCCCCACAUUGGUACUGAGCCAGGAUCAAACUC